rnacentral:rRNA from 1 species
AUUGAACGCUGGCGGCAUGCCUUACACAUGCAAGUCGAACGGUAACAGGUCUUCGGAUGCUGACGAGUGGCGAACGGGUGAGUAAUACAUCGGAACGUGCCCGAGAGUGGGGGAUAACGAAGCGAAAGCUUUGCUAAUACCGCAUACGAUCUCAGGAUGAAAGCAGGGGACCGCAAGGCCUUGCGCUCACGGAGCGGCCGAUGGCUGAUUAGGUAGUUGGUGGGAUAAAAGCUUACCAAGCCGACGAUCUGUAGCUGGUCUGAGAGGACGACCAGCCACACUGGGACUGAGACACGGCCCAGACUCCUACGGGAGGCAGCAGUGGGGAAUUUUGGACAAUGGGCGCAAGCCUGAUCCAGCAAUGCCGCGUGCAGGAAGAAGGCCUUCGGGUUGUAAACUGCUUUUGUACGGAGCGAAACGGUCUGGGUUAAUACCUCGGGCUAAUGACGGUACCGUAAGAAUAAGCACCGGCUAACUACGUGCCAGCAGCCGCCGUAAGAC